AGUGGCGAACGGGUGCGUAACACGUGAGUGACCUGCCCUUGUGUGGGGGAUAACCCGGGGAAACCCGGGCUAAUACCGCAUGAAAUCGGAUCAUCGCAUGGUGAACCGAGCAAAGCUCCUUCGGGAGUGCGCAGGGAGGGGCUCGCGGCGUAUCAGCUAGUUGGUAGGGUAACGGCCUACCAAGGCAACGACGCGUAGGGGGUCUGAGAGGAUGGCCCCCCACAUUGGGACUGAGAUACGGCCCAGACUCC
rnacentral:rRNA from 1 species